UUUUUGAAAACCUGGCAGCAAGAAACUGAUUUAAAAAACUCUUGUCAUUUAAUUUCUUCAAAUUCAGUCAUUUCAGUUCCUAGAAAGACUUACGGUAAUUUCCUUCAGAAGUACUCAGCAAGCUCAUUUCUGGCCAAAUGCCUUUAAAGCAAGAGCACUGUCAUGAAUUAAAGUACACCCUCUGUGCAGUGCUUCAACAACCCAGCGUGAAACAGAAGAGACAUGCAUCUCUCAAGGCUCACAUCCAGAAGGAAGAGACGCUGACUAAAGUCUUCAGAAUAAGCACUCAGACUCUGGCACAGCCCUACUUGUACUUCUUCCUUCUCCAUCUGUACUUAAUAAAGUACUCAUCCUAAUGACAUCAUUCAACAUCCAGUUUUCCCUCUGCUUGGCACAGGAAUAAGGAUUGCGUGUCUGAGGAUGAUUUAAAAAAAAAAUCAAAUUGCUUAAAUACAGAGAACUGGUGACACAAGAGCGCUAUGGAAAGAGUGUCACCUCUUCCUUCCCCUCCAGAAGCAGUGGUGUUAAAAAGCUGCAUGAUCCGUGCACACUUCAUAAUCAGGCAAGCUAUUGAGAUGUUAUGUUUAAUAUUUUCUGUCAUCACCAGUCUGAACAGCUCUCUUUUAAGCAUAUUGAAAUGUGGGAAAUUGCAUUCUGAAGACUGGUAAGCAAUUUGUGGUAGCAGAAGGAAUGCUUAACAUAACUGGUAGGAAUUGCCAUUAGGUCUUUCUGAAAUUUCUCUCUCUACUUGAUUAGUUCCAUUAGCUGGCUGUUUUUUCUCUUCCCUAUGAGUUGCCUCCUCGUUGUUCUUGUUUUGUUUGUGUUUGUUUUACAGUCAGGACAAAUGUCUCUACCCCACAAGUAGAGCUAAGCACUCUCGGAAUAACAAUCAUUUAAUAAUGCUUGGCUUCAUGUGUGUCAGCUGCAGAUGACAUUUAGCACAGGCUUUAUCUCAGUU
rnacentral:lncRNA from 1 species